CAUUGGUUAAGAGUGCUUACUGCUCUUACAGACGGCCAGGGUUAGAUUCUCAGCACCCGGGUGAGGUAGCUUCACAGCUGCUUGUACCUCCAGCUCCAGAGUCUGUGACUUCUCUGGUCCCACAAGCAUGUGCACAGAUUCAUAUGCUUACAAGUAAUUAAAAACACGAUCUAUUUAAAUAUAUUUCAUUUUUGAGUCAAGGUCUCACUAUACAGCCUAGACUAGCCUAGAACUCUUGAUUCUCGUGCCUCGGAGCACUAGAAUUCCAGGCACGGGCCACCUUUGCAAUAAAUACUUGCAUAAUAAAUGUGGUGGUAGGAUGCUGCAGACCCAGUCAGAGCAUCUCUCUACCCAAGGCCCUCCAGCAAGCUUAUCUAAAUGAAAUCAGACUGAGCCAAAACAUCAAGGGCAGCCUUGGAGAAGGGAGGAAAAGAGAGGGUACACAAGGGACCGCUCAAGGCUUUGCCUUGAACUAAAUUCUCCCUUUUUAGUCUUUUAGUAGUUGCUUAAAAAGUAGGUUCUGUUCACAGCACCCACCUUCUUGGGAGAAGCAGAGCCAGAAUCAUAACUCUUUUUUGGUUCUGAGGAUGGAACCCAGGGCUUUGAACAGCGAUGCACACACUUUAUCAUUGAACUAUAUCCUCAAUCCCCAACUGUAACUUUUAGGUGUUCAGGCUCAACAAGACUACCUUUGCUGUUGUCCGACUUUGUAAGCCAGUUGUUGAGUGUAUGAAGUCAGUUCAUUUUAUAAGCAAAAACUAUGCACCAAUCUUAAAAGAUAAAAAUACAAAAGGCAAUUCAGAAGCCUUAAUAACAUUGCUACCACUUUAGAAAACAAUCGAAGUUAUUGAUCAGGUCAGGAGGAACAAGCCUAGGAUAGUAGAUAGAGCCUGGCACCAUGUGGCUGUACCAGCUAGCUUCUGUGUUGAGAAAGAAAGCCAGUGCUUACAUCUACCUGGACAAGCUCUGUCAGACCAGACAGCCUAGCGUUGGGGCCAGGCUCGGUUAGCCUCAGAGUAACUGCCUACUGACAGCCACCAUGCACAGGUGCCCUGCAACCCAGGACAGCAGGCAUGAGUACCUGGCAGAAGACUGGUGGCCCCGAGGAACCACAGGAAGCAGCCCAGGUUUAGGAGUGAGACUGAGCCCAGGGAUGAGACUAGAGAGCCCCCAGCUGUCGCGCCACCAAGGCAGCUCCAGAUUUGGAUCAUAGGAGUACCUACCCAUCACGAUUGCUGAGGGUUAAAGAAAAAAAGCUCCGUUGAGUGCUCGUCCAGGCCUCCUGCAGAGCCACUGCUUUUGGAGGCUGUCAAGAAAAUGUCCAUUCCAGUUCCAGAUUGCUUCCCUCUCUCCAGGGACUACAGAUGACAACGUGACACCUACAGUUGCCUGGACAUCAUGCCAUGUUCUUAGGAGCAAUCAACCACCUGGAGGAGCCUACAAAUUCUGUUUAAUUUCCCUUUUCAUCAGCAGCCUGAUGUGUGGGUACUGGACAGAGUAUGCUUAGUAAACCUCUGCUCCCGGGGCAAUAAUGAAGGUACUUCUAGAGAUGGCCACUAAGGCUGCAAAAGGAUCUCUGAGAAGGUCCAACGCAGGUAGCUAGCCCAUGGCCAUGAAUCAUAAAGUUGAAACCUUCAGAGAUUAAGACAUCUCAAAAGUACAUCAAGUAGGAAAGCAGGAACUAUGGGCAAAUUAGAGCACGCCCACCCCAUAAAGAUGGCGCUUACUACUUCCCAUCAGCCAUCACUGCAGAUAGAAUGCGAGCCCACAGUAGCAAAUAUUCUGAUUUUUAAAAAGAAAUUGGGACUUACUUUAAAUCUCAAAACAAAAACAAAAAAAGUCAGCAUUGGCUUCUAAUUUUAGUCUUUUCUGAAAGUCCUGUGAAAACCAGCAAACUUGCUAGCUGGGUUGUUCCUGGAGACUAAUUUACCUCUGUGUGGAUUUGAGGAAGGGUGUAGAGGUUAAGGGCUGUAUCCAGGGGCAAAAGCUGAGGGAUGUGAAUGGUCACAUCUGUGGGGCCAGAUAAAGCACGAGAAGGCCCAGAAGGCAGAAGCAAGCUGUGGAGACUUCCCGGAACUCUGAGCUUUAGAAGAUCUUUCCAGAAAGUCAGGAUGGACUCUGAGAUAGCCAUUCCAGAGGCAGGAAUUCUAGAAUGGACGGUGAAUAAAUUGAACAGAAGCCAA